CUGACCUCAAAUCAGGUAGGACUACCCGCUGAACUUAAGCAUAUCAAUAAGCGGAGGAAAAGAAACUAACAAGGAUUCCCCUAGUAACUGCGAGUGAAGCGGGAAAAGCUCAAAUUUAAAAUCUGGCGGUUUCACCGUCCGAGUUGUAAUCUGGAGAAGCGUUUUCCGUGUCGGACCGUGUACAAGUCUCUUGGAACAGAGCGUCAUAGAGGGUGAGAAUCCCGUUUUAUGGCACGGACACCCGAUACUUUGUGAUACGUUUUCUAAGAGUCGAGUUGUUUGGGAAUGCAGCUCAAAAUGGGUGGUAAAUUCCAUCUAAAGCUAAAUAUAGGCGAGAGACCGAUAGCGAACAAGUACCGUGAGGGAAAGAUGAAAAGCACUUUGGAAAGAGAGUUAAACAGUACGUGAAAUUGUUGAAAGGGAAACGCUUGAAGUCAGUCGCGUCUUCUAGGACUCAGCCUUACUUCGGUUAGGUGUACUUCCUGGUUUGACGGGUCAACAUCGAUUUUGAUCGACGGAUAAAGGAGAAGGGAACGUGGCACCUCCGGGUGUGUUAUAGCCCUCUUUGUAUAC
rnacentral:rRNA from 1 species